GGACCGCCACUGAGCAGCAGUAAAUGCUGGCACACUGCGACGGAUUGAUCAGCAAGCGAGUAGAUCAUAUGACAGCUACAGCGCGGCAGUUUCUGUUUUAUUUCGGCGUUGCGGAGAGAGGUGCUCGUGUUAUCCCCACCAGUGAGAGUAUAGCGCCUCCGGUCCUGGGGGUUUGAUUGCUGCAUUCACCUCUCGUGGCAAAUCACCCAACCUUAAUCGGAAAAGUGACACGCCUUCCCAGCCGCUGUUGUGAGGACUCCUCCUCGGUGGAGCCUGCUGUCUUGUCUUGUCUUCUCUCGUAGUGAAACUGUUUUUAUUAAGUAGGCUAACCUUUCUCUGGUUCGCCUGGUUUUAUUUUAUUUUAUUCUGGAUUGUUGCUUGUACCCACGCCUCUGUGAUCGGGCUGGAGCGAUCCUCCGCCCGAGUGUGGUGCUGGGAACCUUGAACUGCCUCAGUUG